UUAAGUUCAGCGGGUCUUCCUACCUGAUCCGAGGUCAAUUCAUUGAAAGUGUGGGGUUGCUGGCGAGCCCACGGUGAGGUCUGCAAAGCGGGAGAAAAUUACUACGCUUGAAACCACCGCGGGCCGCCAAUGCUUUUGGGGCACGCCGGGGGAGGCGAGGGCCCAACACCAAGCUACGCUUGAGGGGUGCAAUGACGCUC
rnacentral:misc_RNA from 1 species